rnacentral:tRNA from 1 species
GGGCUUGUAGUCUAGUGGCUAUGACGUCGCCUCGACACGGCGGAGGUCCCCGGUUCGAGACAGAUAUAAGAUAUCUGCGAAGCUCCGGGCAGGCCCA